ACAUAACGAGUGGGAGAGAAUUGAUAAUACUCUGUUUUUUUACAGUGUUGGGACCAACUUGUGUGUCUAAACGACUAAACUGAUCAUUCUGUUAUUAUAGUUUACCAGAAAAAGUUGUCUUCAGAGGGAACCAUAUGUUUGGACAUUUAAAGGAUUAGAGAUUUGAGAUUUGAAACAAGGAUUGAGAUGGAGACACCGACUAAGUUACCCUUUAGCUUAUUUAGAUUAAUUUGCUAGUGUGCCAAGGGAUGAGACAGUUGGGUUUGUGAUUGAUGGCAAAUUGUAAACAAAUGAUGAAUUGUUAGGGCCAGUUGCAUAAUCUUGAUCAUGUGUCCUGUGUCCUGGGAAGUAAUCGAACAGCUCAGAUUGAUUCUGGUUGGGUUCAAAUUGACGAUGAAGAAUGAUGUUGAGGUAUGGAUGCA